rnacentral:rRNA from 1 species
UCGAGAAUCUUCCCCAAUGGCCGAAAGGCUGAGGGAGCGACGCCGCGUGUAGGAAGAAGGCCUUCGGGUUGUAAACUACUUUUCUUUGGGAAAAAUUCUGAUUGUACCAAAGGAAUAAGGGGCUGCUAACUUCGUGCCAGCAGCAGCGGUAAUACGAAGGCCCCAAGCGUUAUCCGGAUUUAUUGGGCGUAAAGCGUUCAACGGUGGUUUGGCAAGUUCCUGGUUAAAUCUCGCGGCUCAACCGUGAGGCCGCUGGGAAAACUGCCAGGCUUGAGUUCGGGAGAGGCACGCGGAACUGCCGGUGUAGCGGUAAAAUGCGUUCAUAUCGGCAGGAACACCGAAAGCGAAGGCAGCGUGCUGGAACGAUACUGACACUAAAGAACGAAAGCGUGGGAGCGAAUGGGAUUAGAUACCCCAGUAGUCCACGCCGUAAACGAUGAAUGUUAGACAUUGGGAGCUUCGACCCUCUCAGUGCCGUUAAGCUAACGCGUUAAACAUUCCGCCUGGGAAGUACGG